UACAGAGGGUGCGAGCGUUAAUCGGAAUUACUGGGCGUAAAGCGUGCGUAGACGGUUAUUUAAGUCGGAUGUGAAAGCCCCGGGCUCAACCUGGGAAUUGCAUUCGAGACUGAAUAGCUAGGGUGCGGUAGAGGGAAGCGGAAUUUCCGGUGUAGCGGUGAAAUGCGUAGAUAUCGGAAGGAACACCGAUGGCGAAGGCAAGUCCCCUGGGCCUGCACUCGACGCUCAUGCACGAAAGCGUGGGGAGCAAACAGG
rnacentral:rRNA from 1 species